CAGACACUACCAAUCACCUCCUAUAUUUUUUUAAAAAAUUUGUGGUCUGAAUAAUCAUGGAGUUAUCCAGAAGAAAAAUAUCAGAAAGUAGUGUCUGUAAAAAAGAACAACCGACAGAUAGAUCUCUCCAUCCAAAGCGAUGAUUCUGAAAAAACUCAAGAAAGAAAAACAAUAGGAUUGAGAAGUUAAAGGAUCAAAUUUUUCCAGAAAGAGAUCUUUCAAACAUGCAUUCUCUUCACAAUCGAUUCGUUCAAAGCAAGGUUUAACUACAGAUGAAGUUCACCUUUUCACAUAAUCCGACAAAAUAGAAGAGUUUCAUACUGCAAAGUCAGAGGAUGACUGAAGUCUCACACUAUAAAGAUAAGUGUUCUCUUAUAACAUAGAUUCUUUCUGUACUUUUGGAGCUUUUAGUAUAUUUUCUCUCUGAUUUUCUUAUAUUAUGCGUUUUCUAAUGAAUUUGUUUUAAAUGUUCUUCAUGGAAGUCCUGUAGUUGGAUAAAAUACAACAAAGUGGGAGCAAGUACGAAGUCUCAAACACUAAAGAUAAGUUUUCUCUUUUGUCUAUUGUCUUGAAGUUCUCGAUCAGUCACAUUAUUAACGAUUGCAGCAUAUAUUAAAUGUUACAAUACUAAUAUGGUAUUUUGUAUUAUAGUUCCCAGACGUUGUAUGGUGGAAUUCCAUAUUCUUUUCAAUCAUGAGCAACGGAAGAAGUGGUUAACAACAUAUACAGCACCAAAGCGUAUUCAGCAGAUCUUCUUAAACGCAGUUUUCUAAAGGGGAGUCCACAAAGAUCAAUACAAAUGAAAAAGAUUGUAAACUUCAGGAAUUACCAAGUUUUGUCAUCUAAAGAGUGAAAAAAUCGAAACUGACUGAAGGAAUUACCAUGAAAUAGGACCGAAGAUGUGUAUCCAUACACUUAGAAGAUUAGUGUUUUACUCAAGACAGUUUAAUACAGAGAUGGCAUGAAAGAUAAUAAAUCCAAAUCAUGAAGGAUAAACGUAUGUACCACUUUGGCUUGGAUCAACAAUGUCGUUUUCCAUGGCCUAAUAUCAUCAAGGUUCUUCUGUCUAUAUGUUCAUUGCUGACAGAUCCAAACCCUGAUGAUCCUUUGGUUCCAGAAAUAGCUCACACCUACAAGACAGACCGGUGUCAAGUACGAGAGCACUGCCCGAUCGUGGACCCAGAAGUAUGCAAUGGGACAAUGAUGAUUGUCAAUAAUAAUCUCACAAGUACAUUGGGCAUUGUCUAAGAAUAUGAGAAAUAAGAUCGAAAAAAACUGAAUGUGGUGUUUGCUUGGUUGCUUUAUUAGUUCUAUCAUCUUAAUCAGUGUGUUGGUGUACAUGAGCUUUAUAUUGAGACAUUUUGAGAACUUGCAAUGCUUUAAAGCCAAUAAUUGGCUAUUAUGAUUA